rnacentral:misc_RNA from 1 species
GAUGAAGAACGUAGCGAAAUGCGAUACGUAAUGUGAAUUGCAGAACUCAGUGAAUCAUCGAAUCUUUGAACGCAUAUUGCGCUCUCUGGUAUUCCGGAGAGCAUGCUUGUUUGAGUAUCAGUAAACACCUCAACUUCCAUAUCUUUUUUGAAAUGGGAGUUGGACUUGAGUGAUCCCAACGCUUUUCCUCACCGAAAAGUGGCGGGUUACUUGAAAUGCAGGUGCAGCUGGACUUUUCUCUGAGCUAUAAGCAUAUCUAUUUAGUCUGCCUAAAAAACAGAUUAUUACCUUUGCUGCAGCUAACAUAAAGGAGAUUAGUUCUUGUGCUGACUGAUGCAGGAUUCACAAAGACAGGCUUCGGCCGACUUUGUAAACUCGAUCUCAAAUCAAGUAAGACUACCCGCUGAACUUAAGCAUAUCAAUAAGCGGAGGA